CCUACGGGAGGCAGCAGUGGGGAAUAUUGGACAAUGGGCGAAAGCCUGAUCCAGCCAUGCCGCGUGUGUGAAGAAGGCCUUCGGGUUGUAAAGCACUUUCAGUGGGGAAGAAAGCCUUGGGGCUAAUACCCUCGAGGAAGGACAUCACCCACAGAAGAAGCACCGGCUAACUCCGUGCCAGCAGCCGCGGUAAUACAGAGGGUGCGAGCGUUAAUCGGAAUUACUGGGCGUAAAGCGCGCGUAGGCGGUCUGAUAAGCCGGUUGUGAAAGCCCCGGGCUCAACCUGGGAACGGCAUCCGGAACUGUCAGGCUAGAGUGCAGGAGAGGAAGGUAGAAUUCCCGGUGUAGCGGUGAAAUGCGUAGAGAUCGGGAGGAAUACCAGUGGCGAAGGCGGCCUUCUGGACUGACACUGACGCUGAGGUGCGAAAGCGUGGGUAGCAAACAGGAUUAGAUACCCCGGUAGUC
rnacentral:rRNA from 1 species